CCUGGCGGCCGUAGCGCGGUGGUCCCACCUGACCCCAUGCCGAACUCAGAAGUGAAACGCCGUAGCGCCGAUGGUAGUGUGGGGUCUCCCCAUGCGAGAGUAGGGAACUGCCAGNA
rnacentral:rRNA from 1 species